UUAAAGUUGUUGCAUUUAAAAAGCUCGUAGUUGAACCUUGGGCCUGGCUGGCCGGUCCGCCUCACCGCGUGCACUGCGUCCGGCCGGGCCUUUCCUCCUGGGGAGCCGCAUGCACCUAUCACUGGGUGUGUCGGGGAACCAGGACUUUUACUUUGAAAAAAUUAGAGUGUUCAAAGCAGGCCUAUGCUCGAAUACAUUAGCAUGGAAUAAUA
rnacentral:rRNA from 1 species